GCCCCUGUAGCACAAUGGAUAGCGCGUUGGACAUCAAAUCCAAAGGUCGUGGGUACCCACCAGUGAUG